rnacentral:snRNA from 1 species
GUGCUCACUUCAGCAGCACACAUCCUAAAAUUGGAAAGAUGCAGAGAAAAUUAAUUAGCAUGGCCCCUGCUCAAGGAUGACAUGCAAAUUCAUAAAGUGUUUCCAAAUAAA